GUCGUAGAGUAGAACAUUCGAUAAUAUUAUAUCAAUACAGAGAAGAUUAGAAUGGCCCAUCUGCAAGGAUGACACAUAAACUGAGAAGUAAUCUAAUUUUGU